UACGUAGGGUGCGAGCGUUAAUCGGAAUUACUGGGCGUAAAGCGUGCGCAGGCGGUUGUACAAGACAGGUGUGAAAUCCCCGGGCUUAACCUGGGAACUGCACUUGUGACUGUACGACUUGAGUACGGCAGAGGGGGAUGGAAUUCCGCGUGUAGCAGUGAAAUGCGUAGAUAUGCGGAGGAACACCGAUGGCGAAGGCAGUCCCCUGGGCCUGUACUGACGCUCAUGCACGAAAGCGUGGGGAGCAAACAGG
rnacentral:rRNA from 1 species